GCAGAAUACGGCACCAUACACACCUCAAUUUAAAAAAUAGGACCGGCACGCUACGGGACAUCACAGUCCUAUAUCGGCACAGUGCUGCUAAAAGGUUUUCCAAUAUUAUGUGUGCUUGCAUACAAGGGCUUUUUUUCACAUACAUAUUGAAUUUGGAGAAUUUGUGUUUUCUACUAUUUCAGAAAGUCAAAUUUGUAUUCAGAU